CCGCUAACGAGCGCAACCCUCGCUGUGUGUUACAAGUAGUCACACGGAACUGCCGGUCAUAACGAGGAAGUGGGAUGACGUCAAGUCAGCAUGGCCUUUAUAUCCUGGGCUACACACACGCUACAAUGGGAAGGGACAAUAGGUUGCGAAGCCGCGAGGCGGAGCCAAUCCAGCAAAACUUCCCUCAGUUCAGAUUGCAGGCUGCAACUCGCCUGCAUGAAGUUGGAGUUGCUAGUAAACGCAGGUCAGCCAUACUGCGUUGAAUACGUUCCCGGGGCUU
rnacentral:rRNA from 1 species